AUGCGGGCACUCGCUGAGGUCACAGUCGGUGCCAGGGUGGGAGCGUUUGUGCCACAGCUGGUGAGCAGAGCUGGUGCUCUGGUGAGCGUGCUGCACGCAGAGACUGAGCUCUGUGCUUUUCUUGAGAGAGAUCACCCUGUGAGAGCCCACUGGAAGCAGCGCUGCGGCGUGUGUGUGAGCUGGGCACAGCUCGGGCUGAGCAGUGACCAGGGACAGAGCCUGCGCGUCCGUGGAAUGGUGCUGGGCAUGGGGGGAAACGGAAAGCCUCUGCAGAAGCUGAUGCCAGUGGCCUUCCUCUGAAGCGCAGCCAUGUGGAAAGGCAGAGGAGGAGCACCGAGUGUGACAUGGCACCCAAGAGAGGUAUACAGACACACAACAGGCAUUGGGGUUUGGUGCACUGGCUUUCUAGUUAGGCUUUCUGUCUGUCCCUUCCUGGGACUGUUGUCGUAGCGUGUUGGUUGUGGUCCUAAUCACAGUUAGCAUUCCUGCACUGAUUAGAAAUGUGAACCCACAGUUCACCCGGGAUCCUAAGAUCCAUGACCGUGAACACUCCAGAUGAGAUGUCCUAGCAUUGUGGCCCAUUUUGCAGAUGAAAGUAGCGUUGGGCUCUUGCUAAAUCUUGUUGCUUCUCCUUUCUAACAGAGAUUGGUGCUGAGCCAAAUGGCAAUAUCUGUGUGAAAGUGGUGCAGCAGGUGUGUUCUGAGA
rnacentral:lncRNA from 1 species